rnacentral:rRNA from 1 species
UACGUAGGGUGCAAGCGUUGUCCGGAAUUAUUGGGCGUAAAGAGCUCGUAGGCGGUUUGUUGCGUCGGCUGUGAAAUCCCGAGGCUCAACCUCGGGUCUGCAGUCGAUACGAGCAAACUAGAGUGUUGCAGGGGAGACUGGAAUUCCUGGUGUAGCGGUGAAAUGCGCAGAUAUCAGGAGGAACACCGGUGGCGAAGGCGGGUCUCUGGGCAACAACUGACGCUGGAGGAGCGAAAGCGGUGGGAGCGAACAGG